CAAGCGAGGGGCGAGCGACAAGGAGCAAUCUCGAGGUGGCGACCGGCGCACGGGUGAGUAACACGUAUGCAACCUGCCUGUAAGCGGGGAAUAACCCGUUGAAAGACGGACUAAUACCGCAUAAUACUAAAUUACUGCAUGGUAAUUUAUUUAAACAUUUAUGGCUUACAGAUGGGCAUGCGCAUGAUUAGCUAGUUGGAGAGGUAACGGCUCCCCAAGGCAACGAUCAUUAGGGGUUCUGAGAGGAAGGUCCCCCACACUGGUACUGAGACACGGACCAGACUCCUACGGGAGGCAGCAGUGAGGAAUAUUGGUCAAUGGACGAGAGUCUGAACCAGCCAAGUCGCGUGCAGGAAGAAUGUUCCCUAUGGAUUGUAAACUGCUUUUGCAGGGGAAUAAAGUGCAUCACGUGUGAUGUUUUGUAUGUACUCUGCGAAUAAGGAUCGGCUAACUCCGUGCCAGCCGCCGC
rnacentral:rRNA from 1 species